rnacentral:misc_RNA from 1 species
CUUCUUCACAGGUCUAGGUCUCUACUGAGGCGCAUGCAGAAACAGAAAACUGAAAAUGCCAUCAACUCCCAACGAUUCAGUCCAUAAAUUUAACGAAGAAGAUGAAUCCACAUUAUCUUCACCCACUUUUUCCUCUUCUAUAAAGUUUGGCAUGCCGGAGGCUUUGGAUCACGUGCGCAAUCUAACCGAUGUCGGCGCCAUGACGCGGCUGCUCCAUGAGUGCAUCGCUUACCAGCGGGCUCUCGAUCUCGACCUUGACAACCUCCUCGCCCAACGCACANNNNNNNNNGUACCUCCUCCACCUCCAGAAAUCCGCGGAGGUGUUAAACAUCGUCAAGGCGGAUUCCG